CCUUCGAUAGCUCAGUUGGUAGAGCGGUGGACUGUAGUCGGUUGUUUCCCAGAGAAAUCCAUAGGUCGCUGGUUCGAAUCCGGCUCGAAGGA
rfam:Melipona quadrifasciata isolate 0111107301 unplaced genomic scaffold scaffold166, whole genome shotgun sequence.